UCCGCCAUUUUACUUUCAGCCGAUCAACACGUUGCUCGCUUGUUACAUAGGGAAUUGAGUGUUUUCACUUUUGCCCUUUUCGACAUUUCUUUGUAGACUUGGUCUACUGACAUCUUUAGUCCAUCGAAAGAGUAUUUUACCAGCAUUUCAUUCGUAUAUUUUGGUGACAAUCUAUUUUCGAACUGAGUUUGCAUCGCAGACAUCAAGCGAUCUCCGCCACCGUCGAAGACGAACUUCGAUUCCCUCUCCGAAUUUCUGAGUGUAGCAGAGACUGGCUUGAGGUAUCCUCAACGAACGUCAAAGAUGGAUGUGACUGAGGCACAGAUGGGGAGGCUGACUGAGAAGCAGAAGAACAUUGUGGGGCUGCUAAGGGAUGCCGGCAUAUCCAUCGCUGAUGUCCGUAAUUUAAUAACAUCUACAGAGGAGCGUGUUGCUGCCCCUAUUAAGCCGGCAGAGCAGAAUGAGGAAGGAGGUGCUGACUGAGGAGCUGAAGGAGACUGCAUACUUUAGAAGCAAGCACAACCUUCCUUGUGGAGAUGCUAUCAGCUUUAAUACCUGCAGACUGCAUAAAUGUAUUUUGUGCUCGGUGCAGUAGACCAUUUAUUUUAUGUUAUGUAAUCAAACGGAAUACAUAGUCAUAAGUGCCUGUUACAAAUGAUUUCAUGUACCUGUUUAAGUCAGAAUGCAAAUUUCAUACAUUACCUGUUAGGUCAGACAAACCAUGAUAUUUGUCUGACCUAGCAACAAAUUAUUUAGGCAAUUUGCAUUCUGACUAUUGAGAUACAUAAUAAGUGCAUUUAAAUAGUGCAUUUAAAAUAUAUUCUUUCUUUAUCAAACAGUUUUAGCUAAAUUAAUUAAUUAUUUAGUUAUCCCUUUAUUACCCAACGUGUUUUACUCAUUAUUGUGAAAUAUGUGUGUUUUUGUAAUGUCAGUUGUACAUGCUUAUUUUAAAUGUAACAGGCAAAUAAUUACCAAAAGUAUCAAACUUAUACAUAUGUGCCAAAAUAUCUGUAUCCUUAUAUCGUUAACUGAAUAAUACAAGGGAUAAUACUUCUCUGGGAUAUUUACAGUUUGAAUCUAAAUAUAUUUUACCUAAUGAAUUUGAUGAUUAUGUUAAUUCUUGUGACGGAAAUGGUAUGUUUUCUAUCGCACAUUUUAAUUGUAGAAGUUUGAAGAGAAAUUUCGAAAAUAUGAGUAAUUUUUUGAAAUGUUUUACACAUACGUUUUCACUCAUUGGAUUAACAGAAACAUGGUUAACCAAUACAGAAACACCCCUUUUAGAAUUGCCAAAUUAUAUUUUUAUUACAAACAACCGUCAAAACAAGUGUGGUGGAGGAGUAGGUAUUUAUCUUAACAAUUAUUUAAAAUUUAAAAGACGAGAAGACUUAGAGAUAUUGAAUGAUUGUGUAGAAACGAUUUGUGCUGAAAUGUAUUGUCAUAAUAAAAAUGUUGUUAUUAUUGUAGUAUAUAGACCUCCAAGUAAACCAUUAUCAACAUUUUUGGAAGGUGUUGAACUAAUAAUGCAUACAAUAUUGAAUGAGAAGAAAGAAUGUUACUUUCUUGGUGAUUUAAAUUUUGACCUACUUUCUCCAAGUCCUUUUGUUGACGUAUUUACGUCAAACUCUUUUUUACCUGUGAUAUCAAAACUAACCAGAAUUACACCUCACUCUGCAACCCUCCUCGAUAAUAUAUUUACAAACGAAUCUGAUUAUGUUAUUAAGUCAGGUAUACUUGUUUCUGAUGUCAGCGAUCACUUACCGAUUUUUUUUAAUCAUUGAUUGCGAUUAUGUGAAUGAAAUAAUAAGUUAUGUAACAUUUAAACGUAAGAUUGAAGAUGAUUCCAUUGUAAGAUUUUGUAUAAUUUUACGUAAUCAAAAUUGGGAAGAAGUUUAUAAAUCAAAUGAUGUUGAUCAUAAAUUUAGUACAUUUCUUGAUCAAUAUAUUUUACUUUAUAAUGCAUGUUUUCCAUUGAAAAAAACUGU
rnacentral:lncRNA from 1 species